AUUGAACGCUGGCGGCAUGCUUUACACAUGCAAGUCGAACGACAGCGCCGGCUUCGGCGUGGCGGCGAGGGGCAAACCGGUGAAUAAUGCAUUUGAACGCGCCAUGACGUGGGGGAAAGCCCGGCGAAAGCCGGAUUAAUCCUGCAGACGACCUGUGGGUGCAAGCGGGGGACCGAAAGGCCUCGCGCUAUUGUGGCGGCGGAAGUCGUAGCAGCUAGUUGGGGGGGUAACGGCUUACCAAGGAUACGAUCCGUAGCUGGUAUGAGAGGACGACCCGCCAGACUGGGUGUGAGACACGGCCGAGACUCCUACGGGAGGCAGCGGUGGGGAAUCUUGGACAAUGGGGGAGACCCUGAUCCAGCGAUGCCGCGUGCGGGAAGAAGGCCUUCUGGUUGUAGACCGCUUUUGUUCGGGAAGAAAUCCUCUGGUCUAAUAGCCCGGGGGGAUGACGGUACCGGAAGAAUAAGCACCGGCUAACUACGUG
rnacentral:rRNA from 1 species